GGCAGUGUAGCGUAGUGGUUAAGGAACAGGGCUCGUAACCGAAAGGUUGCCGGUUCGAUUCCCCAUGGGGGCACUGCUG